rnacentral:rRNA from 1 species
UACGUAGGGGGCAAGCGUUGUCCGGAAUCAUUGGGCGUAAAGGGUGCGUAGGCGGCGCGGUAAGUCGGGUGUGAAAUCUCGGAGCUUAACUCCGAAACUGCAUUCGAUACUGCCGUGCUUGAGGACUGGAGAGGAGACUGGAAUUUACGGUGUAGCGGUGAAAUGCGUAGAUAUCGUAAGGAGGACCAGUGGCGAAGGCGGGUCUCUGGACAGUUCCUGACGCUGAGGCACGAAGGCCAGGGGAGCAAACGGG